rnacentral:lncRNA from 1 species
AAGGAAUAUGAUAUUUUAUGAGAUGAUAUUUCCUUGGAGAUUAUUAACCAACAUUGCUGAUAAUAACAAUAUUUCAAGUUGAGCCUUCACAGAACUAAAAAGCAUAAAAAACACACGUCCUAUAUAAAUAGACACACAAGAUAACCAAAUAGAUGAUAAAGACACAACCCAACUUCCUCCAAUACUAGUGUUUGAUAAAGAAGAAACUCUUGACAUUUCUAUACAAGAUAACUACAACUCCAAUGAUUGUCGUCCAAUAAGGAAAUUAACUAGGGUUAGAAGGGUCUUUCCUAUCAAAGGACUUCGUGUAUGAAUAAGUUAAUGCUUACAUUACCCGCUCACAACAAUAUGAUGAUAAAAAUGCAUUAGCAGGU